rnacentral:rRNA from 1 species
GACGAACGCUGGCGGCGUGCUUAACACAUGCAAGUCGAGCGGUAAGGCCCUUUCGGGGGUACGACGAGCGGCGAACGGGUGAGUAACACGUGGGUGACCUGCCUUUAGCUCUGGGAUAAGCCUGGGAAACUGGGUCUAAUACCGGAUACGACUCCGCGGUGCAUGCUGUGGGGUGGAAAGCCUUGUGCGGCUGGAGAUGGGCCCGCGGCCUAUCAGCUUGUUGGUGGGGUGAUGGCCACCAAGGCGACGACGGGUAGCCGGCCUGAGAGGGCGACCGGCCACACUGGGACUGAGAUACGGCCCAGACUCCUACGGGAGGCAGCAGUGGGGAAUCUUGCGCAAUGGGCGAAAGCCUGACGCAGCGACGCCGCGUGAGGGAUGACGGCCU